rfam:Planktothrix tepida PCC 9214 isolate BBR_PRJEB10993 genome assembly, scaffold: BBR_B_PL9214_scaffold46
AGAGUAAGCGCAGGCGAUUACGGACUUGUUAAGAGUCUGAGGAAAGUCCGGGCUCCCGAAAGACCAAACUUGCUGGGUAACGCCCAGUGCGAGUAAUCGUGAGGAUAGUGCCACAGAAAGAUACCGCCUUUUUACAGUCAACCGUGAACAGUCAAUCUUUUGAUAACUGAUAACUGAUAACUGAUAAGGGGUAAGGGUGCAAAGGUGUGGUAAGAGCGCACCAGCAACGUCGUGAGGCGUUGGCUCGGUAAACCCCGGUUGGGAGCAAGGUCGGAGGAACUAAGGUUGGUCUUUUUCCCGUUCCGAUCAAAAGUGGUACCGCUAGAGGUGUUUGGUAACAGACAUCCCAGAUAGAUAAUCGCCAUCUAAAGCUGAUUUCAGCCUGGAUAACAGAACCCGGCUUAUGUCUGACUCUUUCC